rnacentral:tRNA from 1 species
GAUUAGCUCAGUUGGUAGAGCAAAGGACUGAAAAUCCUUGUGUCCCCGGUUCGAUUCCUGGUGGCACCA